UACGUAGGGUGCAAGCGUUAAUCGGAAUUACUGGGCGUAAAGCGUGCGCAGGCGGUGAUGUAAGACAGUUGUGAAAUCCCCGGGCUCAACCUGGGAACUGCAUCUGUGACUGCAUCGCUGGAGUGCGGCAGAGGGGGAUGGAAUUCCGCGUGUAGCAGGUGAAAUGCGUAGAUAUGCGGAGAAACACCGAUGGCGAAGGGCAAUCCCCUGGGCCUGCACUGACGCUCCAUGCACGAAAGCGUGGGGAGCAAACAGG
rnacentral:rRNA from 1 species